rfam:Ovis aries breed Texel chromosome 7, whole genome shotgun sequence.
UCCCUGGUGGUUCAGAUGGCAAAGCAUCUGCCUGCAAUGCGGGAGACCCGGGUUCGAUUCCUGGGUUGGGAA